rnacentral:rRNA from 1 species
AGCGAACGCUGGCGGCAGGCCUAACACAUGCAAGUCGAACGGAUCCUUCGGGAUUAGUGGCGGACGGGUGAGUAACACGUGGGAACGUGCCCUUUGGUUCGGAACAACUCAGGGAAACUUGAGCUAAUACCGGAUGUGCCCUUCGGGGGAAAGAUUUAUCGCCAUUGGAGCGGCCCGCGUCUGAUUAGCUAGUUGGUGAGGUAACGGCCCACCAAGGCGACGAUCAGUAGCUGGUCUGAGAGGAUGAUCAGCCACACUGGGACUGAGACACGGCCCAGACUCCUACGGGAGGCAGCAGUGGGGAAUCUUGCGCAAUGGGCGAAAGCCUGGCGCAGCCAUGCCGCGUGAAUGAUGAAGGUCUUAGGAUUGUAAAAUUCUUUCAGCGGGGACGAUAAUGACGGUACCCGCAGAAGAAGCGCCGGCUAACUUCGUG